AUACGUAGGUGACAAGCGUUAUCCGGAUUUACUGGGCGUAAAGGGCGUGUAGGCGGUCUUGCAAGUCAGAAGUGAAAUUCCUGAGCUCAACUCGGGCGCUGCUUCUGAAACUGCAGGACUUGAGUGCUGGAGGGGAUGGCGGAAUUCCUAGUGGAGCGGUAAAAUGCGCCGAUAUUAGGAAGAACACCGGUGGCGAAGGCGGCUAUCUGGACAGUAACUGACGCUGAGGCGCGAAAUCGUGGGGAGCAAACAGGAUUAUAUACCCUGGUAGUCCACACUGUAAACGAGGAAUGCUAGGUGUAGGGGGUAUCGACCCCUUCUGUGCCGCAGUCAACACAAUAAGCAUUCCGCCUGGGGAGUACGGCCUCAAGGUUGAAACUUAAAGGAAUUGACGGGG
rnacentral:rRNA from 1 species